ACGGCGAGUGAACAGGAAAAAGCUCAAAGUUGGAACCUGUUUGGCCUAGCUAAACCGGAUUGUAAACUGUAGAAGUGUUUUCCAGGCAAGCCGGACCGAUAAGUCCUUUGGAACAGGGCAUCAUAGAGGGUGAGAAUCCCGUCUUCGGUCUGAGCAUUUGCCUUUUGCGAUACACUUUCAAAGAGUCAGGUUGUUUGGGAAUGCAGCCUAAAUUGGGUGGUAAAUCUCACCUAAAGCUAAAUAUUGGCGAGAAACCGAUAGCGAACAAGUACCGUGAGGGAAAGAUGAAAAGAACUUUGAAAAGAGAGUUAAACAGUAUGUGAAAUUGUUAAAAGGGAACCGUUUGGAGCCAGACUGGCUUGUCUGUAAUCAGUCUAAGCUUCGGCUUGGAUGCACUUGCAGGCUAUGCCUGCCAACGACAAUUUGGCUUGAGGGAAAAAACUAAGGGAAAUGUGGCCCAUCCGCGGGUGUUAUAGUCCCUUAGAAAAUACCUUGGGCUGGAUUGAGGUACGCAGCGAAUGCUAUUUGGCGAGUUGGCUGGGAAUAUUUUCUGAGGUGCUUUGGUACUGAGGUUGAUAUUCCUAGUUACACUUCUAUUCGCUUAGGUUGUUGGCUUAAUGACUCUAAAUGACCCGUCUUGAACCACGGGACCAA
rnacentral:rRNA from 1 species